rnacentral:rRNA from 1 species
UACAGAGGGUGCGAGCGUUAAUCGGAAUUAUCGUGGGCGUAAAGCGCGCGUAGGCGGCUUUGCAAGUCGGGUGUGAAAUCCCCAGGCUUAACCUGGGAACUGCAUUCGAGACUUGCAUUGCGUAGAGUAUGGGAGAGGGAAGUGGAAUUUCCGGUGUAAGCGGUGAAAUGCGUAGAUAUCGGAAGGAACAUCAGUGGCGAAAGCGACUUCCUGGCCCAAUACUGACGCUCAUGUGCGAAAGCGGUGGGGAGCAAACAGG